UACGUAGGGUGCGAGCGUUGUCCGGAAUUAUUGGGCGUAAAGGGCGCGUAGGCGGCCUGAUAAGUAGGGGGUGAAAUCCUGCGGCUUAACCGCAGGGCUGCCUUCUAAACUGUCGGGCUCGAGCACGGUAGAGGCAGAUGGAAUUCCCGGUGUAGUGGUGAAAUGCGUAGAUAUCGGGAGGAACACCAGUGGCGAAGGCGACUUCCUGGCCUGUUCUUGACGCUGAGGCGCGAAAGCUAGGGGAGCAAACGGG
rnacentral:rRNA from 1 species